rnacentral:rRNA from 1 species
UACGGGGGGGGCAAGCGUUGUUCGGAAUUACUGGGCGUAAAGGGUUCGUAGGGGGCCAACUAAGUCAGAGGUGAAAUCCCUCGGCUUAACCGGGGAACUGCGUCUGAUACUGGAUGGCUUGAGUUUGGGAGAGGGAUGCGGAAUUCCAGGUGUAGCGGUGAAAUGCGUAGAUAUGCGGAGGAACACCGAUGGCGAAGGCAAUCCCCUGGGCCUGCACUGACGCUCAUGCACGAAAGCGUGGGGAGCAAACAGG